AGCUUCAAUAGCGUAUACUUAAGUUGUUGUGGUUGAAGAGCUCGUAGUCGUAAUUGUGGACGAUCCAGUUGUAGUGUUACUCCCUUUGGGGGUUUCGCUUAAGGACUGUGGUCUCCUUCUUAAGAUGUUUGGGGGCUGGUGUUAUUAGCUUAGCGUCAGUCAACUGCAUCGUGUUUACCUUGAAUAAAUCGGAGUGCUCAAAGCAGGCUUUACGCUUGAACGAUUGUGCAUGGGAUAAUGGAACAGGGCGUCUCGACCCUUUCAUUGGUUUAAGUUGAGACGUAAUGAUAGAUAGGAACGGUCGGCGCGAUUCGUACGAGAGAGUGAAAGGUGAAAUUUUUAGAUCUCUCUCAGACGAACAGAUGCGAAGGCGUUUCGCGAGAACGUUU
rnacentral:rRNA from 1 species